GGGAUGGAGCGACGGCUGCCGGUACGGCCCUUGGCAGAGGCAGGGCCCGGAGGAGCCCGGGAUGGCGGCGGGCGGCGCACCUGGCUGCCACGCCCCUGGCCGCCAGGGGCUGGUCGGAGUCGGCACACCUGAGCAGCCUCCUCUGCUCCGCCUUGUCCAGGAUGUUCUUCCGGAGCACACGGGCCAGACUGAGCUCCCCGCUGCACACCAGGCGGAAGACCAGCUCCAUCAGCAGCUUCAAGAUCUCCUCCGUCAACUCCACUAGGCUGAAGGGCCAAGGGCCAUGCGGUGAGGGGCAGGGAUGCAAGCAUAAGAAGAGGGCUGCUGCCACCGGGUCCAGAACCCCCUCAAGACUCCUGAGACGCCCACCAGCAGAGCUGGGAAACCUCUCGUGGGAAGAGAGCCAGAGAAGAUGGUCGCUGGCACUGGAUAAGCACCAGGGACCAUGCUGUGGCCUGGGCUAUGGAGACAAAUCCUGCCCCAGGGGAGCUCCUGAUCCCACGGGGGUGAUGAAUCACGACGAGGUCUGGGCUCCACAGACCAGACAGCCCUAGGACGCCCCUGCACAGUAUUCCAUAAACACGCAGUAUUUCACAGCCCCACCCCGUAAUCACUAAGGCCACCCCCCAGCAGAAGCACGAAGAACGUGUUCUUGCUGACGCGCUUCUUGAAUGUGUCAGCAAAAGGAGAGAACUUCUCGUACGUGGGCGCAGGUUAAAGAAACAACCGCCCUCACAGAACCGUCUCCCUGCACUCCCAGGCUUGCCUCGCUGCUGGGAUCAACCGAAGGUUCCUGUGACCGCUGAAACGCUGAAGGCUGCAUCGCUGAGCUCAGGCAGAGAAAGCUUCAGAGGCUGCCUGCACAUCUGCCCUUCAAACACCUGACUACUUCCUCCCUGAGGCCGUGGGUUCCACCUUGAGGGUCACGACUUCUCGCUGCCCUCGUGUUCACCAAGCCUCCAGACACUUCUAUGGCUCCAUACCGCCUGCUCUCAGGAAGAAGCCAUGCACCAGGGACAGCGCCGAGGGCCGGUAGCACACAGGACCCACUAGCCAGCUGCGCCCAGGAUCUCAAUGCUGCAACACGUCCGUUAACAUGCCUGAAGCGCCAAGCAGGGCAGAUGCUGAGGUGCCGAGUCAGAGAGGCCUGGGGGGCACUCUCCCUCCAAGCUGCCAGACGGGUCACUUAACCUCUCUGAACUUCAGUUUCCUUAAUUACACAGUAGGAAAUAAUAUCAUGG